rnacentral:lncRNA from 1 species
GCCUCCCGAGUAGCUGGGAUUACAGGUGCAUGCCACCACACCCAGCUAAUUUUUGUAUUUUUAGUAGAGACGGGGUUUCACCAUGUUAGCCAAACUGGUCUCGAACUUCUGGCCUCAGUUGAUUCCCCACCUCAGUUUUUCCAGUUUAUAUUCCCACCAGCAGGGUACAAGGAUUCCUAUUUCCCUACUUCCUCAUUAAUUAAGAGGGUGACGCUCUUUCCGUUGUUUUUUAUAGAUCUGCAUGGAACAAUGCGGCUUCUCUGCAUGACUGGAGUUUGUUUUGUCUUUGAAGAUAAUCUCACUAGGAUCAAGACUGUGAAGAGGUGCCUCCAACAAGAAAAACCAAUGUCUAGCAAGUCCUCUAAGGGCAGGGAUUCUGGAGAGGUCGCCCUGUCCUCAGCUUGGCCCUGGCACAUUCUGGCUGCAGAAAAUGGGCCUGCUGCUCUAAGAGGUUGGACUCAAGGAGUCCUCUAGCACAGGGGCCAUGAAAAUAAAUGACUUCCUUGUUUGCUGAUGGAGCA